CCUACGGGUGGCUGCAGUCGAGGAUCUUCGGCAAUGGGCGCAAGCCUGACCGAGCGACGCCGCGUGUGGGAUGAAGGCCUUCGGGUUGUAAACCACUGUCAGAGCGGAGGAAAUGCCUGGGGGUUCUCCCCCGGGUUUGACCUAGGCUCAGAGGAAGUACGGGCUAAGUUCGUGCCAGCAGCCGCGGUAAGACGAACCGUACGAACGUUAUUCGGAAUCACUGGGCUUAAAGGGUGCGUAGGCGGUGCGGCAAGUUGGAUGUGAAAUACCUCAGCUUAACUGAGGAACUGCAUUCAAAACUGCCGUGCUUGAGUGAGACAGAGGUAAGCGGAACUGAGGGUGGAGCGGUGAAAUGCGUUGAUAUCCUCAGGAACACCGGUGGCGAAAGCGGCUUACUGGGUCUCAACUGACGCUGAGGCACGAAAGCUAGGGUAGCGAAC
rnacentral:rRNA from 1 species